rnacentral:lncRNA from 1 species
UCGGGGGAGUAUUUGGGAGCACGCGCCGACGCGCGCGUCGUGCGUGCCGUCGUCUUUGUCGCGGUGGAGCGGAGCGCGCCCACUUGCGCGCCUGGGCCGGAGGCGGGCGCGCCGGGGGUUCGGGAAUCCCCUGGAGCCACACGUAAAGGCGCGGGCGGGAGGGAGGGAGGGGCCAGCAAGGAUAAGGCACGCGCGGCCGCUGCGAUUGGGGCGCUUGUGAACACCGGGGCGCCACGUGGAGAGGACGUUACACUCCAGCCGCCAAAUUUCCACUCCCACACCCGCGCUCCCCUCCCCUCUCUUUUCCGUGAUCGCACCUCGCCCACGCGCCCCCCGCCACACACAAUCUCUGCAGCUCUCCAGCUUCGUUGGAACUCGCGAAUCUCUCUCCGAUCCCAGGUGAAGCGCGAGCUUGGAGUUGGAGGGGAGAUCGAUCAGGGCCAGGAUGCCGUCGGUUUCGAGGGCCGUAGGGCGAGCGGGAAUAACGGCAGGAGGUGCAGAGAUGGGGCGGCCGCCGCCGGCCGCCGAUCCGUCGUGGCGCAGAGAGCGCGGCACGGCAAGCCGGAGGUCGCCAUCCGCUCGGGGUCCGGCGGCUCGGCGCGGGGCGGGCAUUGCUCGCCUCUCAGGGCAGUGGCGGCGCCGAUCCCGACUACCAAAAAGAUGCAUGCGUUCAACAUCUUUUAG